rnacentral:rRNA from 1 species
UACGUAGGGUGCAAGCGUUGUCCGGAAUUAUUGGGCGUAAAGAGCUCGUAGGCGGCUUGUCGCGUCUGCUGUGAAAUCCUGAGGCUUAACCUUGGGCGUGCAGUGGGUACGGGCAAGCUAGAGUGCGGUAGGGGAGAUUGGAAUUCCUGGUGUAGCGGUGGAAUGCGCAGAUAUCAGGAGGAACACCAAUGGCGAAGGCAGACCUCUGGGCCGUAACUGACGCUGAGGAGCGAAAGCAUGGGGAGCGAACAGG